GUCUACGGCCAUGCCACCCUGAACAAGCCAGAUGUCUGAUCUCAGAAGCCAAGCAGGGUCGGGCCUGGUUAGUACUUGAAUGGGAGACCACCUAGGAAGACCAGGUGCUGUAAGCA
rnacentral:rRNA from 1 species